rnacentral:tRNA from 1 species
UCCCUGGUGAUCCAGUGGCUAAGACUCCACACUCCCAAUGCAGGGAGCCCAGGUUCAAUCCCUGGUCAGGGAA